AGUAGAAAGUUACUUCGGUACAUCGGUGACAGGUGGUGCAUGGUUGUCGUCAGCUCGUGUCGUGAGAUGUUGGGUUAAGUCCCGCAACGAGCGCAACCCCUAUUGUUAGUUGCCAUCAUUCAGUUGGGCACUCUAAAGAGACUGCCGGUGUCAAACCGGAGGAAGGUGGGGAUGACGUCAAGUCCUCAUGGCCUUUAUGACCAGGGCUACACACGUACUACGAUGGCCGGUACAAAGGGCAGCGACACAGCGAUGUGAAGCGAAUCCCGAAAAGCCGGUCUCAGUCCGGAUUGGAGUCUGCAACUCGACUCCAUGAAGUUGGAAUCGCUAGUAAUCGCGGAUCAGCACGCCGCGGUGAAUACGUUCCCGGGCCUU
rnacentral:rRNA from 1 species